AAAUGUUAUUAACUACUCGGUUCUAAUGGGGGUCAGCCAUUAGAGGUAACGGGGAAAGUCCGGUGUAAAUCCGGCGCUGUCCCGCAACUGUAAAGGAGAUAAGUGUCUCUCAGUCAGGAUGCCCGCCGAAGUUAACUUGUCAGU
rnacentral:ncRNA from 2 species